rnacentral:rRNA from 1 species
CUACCGGGAUGCUCCAGUGAGGAAUAUUGCACAAUGGGGGGAACCCUGAUGCAGCAACGCCGCGUGGAGGAUGACGCAUUUCGGUGUGUAAACUCCUUUUAUAUGUCAAGAAAAUGACGGUAGCAUAUGAAUAAGCACCGGCUAACUCCGUGCCAGCAGCCGCGGUAAUACGGAGGGUGCAAGCGUUACUCGGAAUCACUGGGCGUAAAGGACGCGUAGGCGGGUUGGAAAGUCAGGUGUGAAAUCCUACAGCUUAACUGUAGAACUGCACUUGAAACUUCUAAUCUAGAGUAUGGGAGGGGGAGAUGGAAUUAGUGGUGUAGGGGUAAAAUCCGUAGAUAUCACUAGGAAUACCUAAAGCGAAGGCGAUCUCCUGGAACAUUACUGACGCUAAGGCGUGAAAGCGUGGGGAGCAAACAGGAUUAGAUACCCGCGUAGUC